UUAUGAAAUUUCUUUUAUGUACCCAAUGUUGAUCAUUAGACUAUAAAUAAGGCUUUGUCCAUAUUAAUGGCAAAUGCUGACGGUCGCUACUCUCCACUUUUCCUGUUGACAGAUUUUCUUGAAAUCACCAUUGCUCCUUCACAUUACACUGGGGAAGAUAACCCUAUCCCAGAUUCCGGGAAUAUAGGAGUACCCUCCAGGAAUAUAGGAUCUGUUCCAACCCCUAGUGGAUGCCUGAAACUGUGGAUAAUAUCAAACCCUACAUAUACUGUGUUUUUUCCUAUAUGUGCAUACCUAUGAUAAAGUUUAUCAAGUAGACAAAGGGAUUAACACCAAUAACAAUGAAAUGGAAAAAUUGUGACAAUAGAAUGUACUACAAGUUAUAUGAAUGUGGUCUCUCUCUCUCAAGAUAUCUCCUUGUACUGUACUCACUUUUCUUCUUGUGAUGAUGUGAGAUGAUCAAAUGCCUACCUGAUGAGAUGAAGUGAGGUGAACGACCGAGCCCUGUGACCUAGUGUUAGGCUACUAUUAACCUAUAUGUCAGAAGGAGGAUCAUCUGCUUCCAGACCAGGGUUGACCACAGGUAACCAAAACCACGGAAAGUGAAACCACAGACUGUGGGCUCCAUGGAAACCACAGGGAACAGAGGCAGAUGUACCAGCAGGCAAAUGAAGUUUCAGCAUUAGGACUCCGGGAGUUGCGUCAGCAAUUGGAGUUACAUCUUCCUUGGCAGUUUCCAAUCUCAACUAGCAAAGAAUAAGGCUCUCGGCUCUGCAGGCCGAGAAAGUAACCUUGGCAUAAUGAAUGACCUGUAGCUUCAGAACGCCUCUGGAAUGCCAAAUGACCACGGCUCCAUGCCUCUGGAAUGUGGAAUGGCCCCUGCAUUAGCCAGGUGACCCACAGCUGCACACCACUGGAAUGAAAACUAGAUUCUGGCUCCUAGAAUACCAAAUGUCCGCUCAAGGAAAAAGCAACGGAUAAGCCUUCCUGCUGAGGAGGAAGAAAUGGUAGUGACUGCCAUUGCUGCGAUGAGAUAACUAUCUCUUAAUACUAAUAACACCUUAUUCUGAGUCACACAACUUCUGUGAACCACCUGCUGAAAACUGUCUGACCCUCCCCAAAUCGGAGAAACAGAUCUCUUCCCAUGGGUAGAAAUGUGUUCCCCCUACUUUGUGUUUCCUAUCAUUGCCUGAAAGAAGAAACAGAAAUCUUGUUUCCAAAAUUCAUUUUCCCAGUGCAUUAAUUUGGACUUACAAAGCUUUGUAAUCCAUUUAGACAGCAUCGGCAUCUACAAAGUCCUGUUUCAGAGAAUGUAGUUCCCCAGUGAGGGCGCCUGAACCCUUACUGGAAGUCGCCUGCAAAGGAGACAAGGUGUAAGGAUAUUUGCAUCAAUCAUGUUCACUAACUGGGAUUUUAAUGAUUCUCUCUUCCCCUUUCUUCUUCAUCAUCUUUUUUUUCUUCCCAGUGCCAUUCCUCAGUGAAUAUUUCUUUUUCUUUUCUUUUUUUUUUUUUUUCCUUUCUCUUUUCUCUUGCAUUUCAAUGCACUGGCUUUAAAAGGAGGAUUUGCAAACUGAGUAUUAAAACUCCAGGGUACUACAUCUCCAAAAUCUAUAAGACGAUAAGAAGAUAAGAGGCCAAACCCACUGAAAGCUUCCCUCCCGGUGCCUGUGGAACUUGCAGGCUGGUCUAUAAUACCCCUAAGCGAAAGCAAUCUGCCCACCUCCUCCCCACCCAACCCUCCCUGCCUAAUGCAGGCGGAUAAACUUAGCAUUAAAAUUCCCACACUUUGGCAAAUGAGUACCCAGGAGGCUGCUGACUCAAUCAGAGCUUGUUUUACUUACAGUGUAGUACUGAGAAAAGGCCAUAAACUCCAGCCUGACAGAUCUGCGAUGCUCAUUUCAAUAUGCUUUCCCUGUGUGCGGGCUUGCUGAUGAACUUUCAUAUUCCGCCAACAAAAUAUAACAAACAUAUUAACGACGUGUGGUAAAUUGCCACUGGAUAUAGUGGGUCCUGAUGACGGAAAUGGUUGUGAGUAAAUGAGAUUGUCUGGCUGCCUAAUACCACUUUGGGGUCCAAAAUGAUGCACUGCCUUGGAGGGAGGCGGGCAGAGGAAGAGGGGGCAAGCCAGCUAACAAGGGACACAGGUGCCCUUGCCCAGGGCAAAUGGGGCAUUGGAAACCCAAGACAACAUUGUGUCAGAGCUAUAGAGAGUGUCUGCUUAAACUCAUUAAUCUGAUGUAUAUUAAAAUCAAGACCCAGAGAGAUGUAAAAAGCCCAAAGCCACAGAGCAAGUAUGUGACUCCUGAAUCACAGCCCAGUGCUCUCCUGGUUGGUGGAUUUGAUUUAUACCAGAAGCUGUCUGUAAGAGAGUAGUUGGACAGAAAGAAUAUAAAGAAUGUUCCUGUGGCUCAAGUCAGUCCCGCAUUCAUCAGUACCAAAAUGCACUGCAGGGCUUGUCUUUCUCUUUAUCUGUAGUGCUUGACCUUUCUUUUGGGUGCAUUAAGGGACACCAAAGGGUGAUUUGGACUGAGUGUGCAGUCGUUUUCCUCUACUGCAACCCAAAAGGACAAGUAUAAUUCCCUUUCAAUUGUCAUAGAUUCCUAAUGACCCAUUACAAUUCUGACUCCAAUUCUAAUGUGUGUGUGUUUUUCCCCCAAAACCACCAAGCCACUUUCUGAUGGCUGCUGGGUGUUACAGCCCAACUUGAUUCUGACACUGUUUUCCUGGAGACAGCAUCAGGGUCCCCAGGUUAAGGUCUCAGUCCCACGAAAUUUUUCUCUGCUUCAGAUACUAGUCCCAAGUCUGGGCUGUUACCUGUACUUCUGACUGGUCACUUAUUUCAGGUAAAUUUAAGGUUUCAAGUUACCAAAAAGAUUUUAAAAAUGGUUUUUAAGUAGACAUACCUUAAGGCAUAAUUGUUUAAAAGUUCACUUAUAAACUUAUAUCUUACUUACAUCUAUUUGA